CAAAAGUUACUGGCGUGCCAUGUUUGGCACGCCUGCCAGGGGUUGCCCACCCCUGGCCUAGGCUAUGGUCUCUAAAUAUCAUUUUUUCCUAAAAGAAAUCAUGACUUUGGAAGAGUAAGAAAUAUCUUGUCAUAUCAGAAAGAAAGAAGCUAUCAAAGGCUUCUGGAGUCAUGUUAAAGGAUCCAAAAGACAAUACUGACUAAAGAGAAGACAAUUGAGUCAAUAAGAAUAAUAAGUGCAAUGAAGUAAAAUAUAAAAUACUUUUAAUUGUACAAAUUCAUAAUUAUACUAAGAAAUAAACCUUUUGAUCCUAACUUUUCUGUACAAACUUACACCUCAAGGUAACCCAAAUGGUUGAUGAGGGAAAUUUUAUUUCUAAAAGUAUUUCAGUCAAUAAAACAAAGAAGGAAUGACCGAAUUAGAAUAUUACAAUUUUGUAACCUUGAAUGAAAUCAUGGAUCUAGGCAAUGACCAUAAAUGGCUGCUAAAUUAUACAGAGAAACAAGCGGACCUUAUGUGCCCUCCUGAAGGAAGUUCACAUCAGUAUACUCUUGCAAAACACUGAGUCUGGUUUAGCCUCUAGCUCUGUACUAUCUAGUAGAACUUCCUGUGACAAUGGAAAUAGUCUAUGUCUGCACUGUCCAGUACUGUAGCCACUAACUACAUGUGAUUAUUUACAUUUAAAGUAAAAUUUUAUGACUUAGUCACACUAGCCACAUUUCAACUCCUCAGCAACCACAUGUAGCUAGUAGCAGCACUAUCAGCUUUCAGGAAAUAAAGAGGACCUUUCAUUCUCACUUUAUUUACUAUAUCCAUAGCCUCCAAAAUAUCCUCUUGUCCUCUUUAUUAUUAUUAUUUUUGUGAUAAGAACACCCAAAAUAAGAUCUACUCUCUUAGCAAUCUUUUAAUAUUGUCUAAUAUAGGCCCUAUGCUGUAUAGUAGAUCUCUAGGACUUAUCUUGCAAAACUGAAACUUUAUAACCAAUGACCACUUCUCUCCAGCCAUGGAACCAACAAACACUGCCCCAUUUUUAAUAUAACUACCUGUCAAAGGCUCAUUUUUGUCAUAUUAACGAACAGUCGACCCAUGAACCAGGAGGUCGUGGUUCGAUUCCCAAUCAGGGCACAUGCCCCGUGUGGGCUCAAUCCCCAGUAGGGGGUGUGCAGGAGGCAGCCAAUCAAUGAUUCUCUCUCAUCAUUGAUGUUUCUCUCUCUCUCUCCCUUCCUCUCUGAAAUCAAAAAAAUUAUAAUAAUAAUUUUUAAAAGUACAUAUUUUUAAAUGUUAACUGGUAAGAAACACUUAAGUUGGCUUUCCUAUCUUUUCUGAUCAGCUGGAAGUUUCCUCUUGUCUGCUCUUUCCUUAUUUGUUUUGGUCUCACACACUGUAGCAAAAGGGGAAAGGCAUUUUAUGCACAAGACCUUCUGAAUGUUGUAACAGUAUUUUCCUCAUCAGUUUUAUUGGAAAUUUCUAGUUUGCUUCCUGUUUCAUCUUCCAUCAUGCCUCCAAUGACUAGAUGUUUAUUAAUUUUAGACCACACAUUUUUAAAAUUAAUGACUUAAUCACUACAUCUCUUACAAAGCAUCUUAAGUAUUUUAAGCACCCUCUGGCCAUCUAUGCCAUCCAUUCCUGCUAGCAACCUUAAAAGAUGUAGCACCAACAUGACCAAAGAAGUUUGAGAAGUGAAUCCAUACUAAGGUGAUUAUUAACCACGGUCAAGGUGUACCCAUUGACAGAGGCAUCUCUUAAAAGACCCUCAAACACAUGACUGGUUCCAAUAUCUAAAUGUAUCAAUAACGGCAGGGGAGCAAUGAAAGCUCUCUUCGUUUUCCUGAAGCAUAACCUCAGGAGAGAAAUAUUCUCAUCUAGCACAAGCAAGGCUACGUCUUCACAGUGUUGUCAUAUACAAGCCCCGGGGAAUCAGGGCAAAGACAAAGCCUGCCCCCUGCAAGAACCUCACUGUCCUCAUUUCCAGGGGUGGCUAAGGUCAGCAGAGCAGCUCAUGUCACUGCCAAGAGGGAGGGAACCCAAAGGGAGCCUCAAGUAACUGAGUACCAGGGCAUUCCAGGCUUUAAAAUAGCUGCCUUCGCCUCGUGGGCCAUGCGAAGAUAUCUACGCAGAGCGUAGUAAUAAAACCUUACACCAAGAAACACAUCUCUGUCAGACAUUUUUGCUCCGUCGCUUUGUUAUUGUUUUUUAAUUUACAAUAUUAUCUUAGUUUCAAGUGUAGAAUAUAGUGAUUAGACAUCUAUGUAACUUAUGAAGUGAUCACCCUGAUAAGUCUAGUACCCAUCUAACACCAUACAGAAUUAUUACAGUAUUAUUGACUAUAUUCCCUAUGCUGUAUUCUUCAACCCUGUGACUACUUUUAUAACUGGCAAUUUGUGCUUGCUAAUCCCUUUCACCGUUUUUACCCAUACCCUCAAAUCCCCUUGUGAUCUGGCAACCACCAAUUUGUUCUCUGUAUCUAUGAGCUUGUUUCUGUUUUGUUCAUUUAUUUUGAAAUCAUAUGGUAUUUGUCUUUCUCUGUCUGACUUAUUUAUAAUAGCCAAGAUAUGGAAGCAGUCUAAGAGUCCAGUAAUAGAUGAAUGAAGAAAGAAGAUGUGGCACAUAUAUACAUACAAAAAGAAUUAAAUCAAUCCCUUUGUUUUUAUUUUCCAGAGUUUCUUCCUCAGCUUAAAUUUUUCCUCCCUAGUCAUUCACUCCCUGGGUGGUUUAAUUCUCCCCUUGGUAUAAUCAUCAUGCAUAGUAGAUAAUGUGGAAACAAUUUCUUUUUUUUUUUUUACAUAAAUUUUUAUUGGUUUCAGAGAGGAAGGGAGAUGGAAAGAGAGAUAGAAACAUCAAUGAUGAGAGAGAAUCAUUGAUUGGCUGCCUCCUGCACACCCACACUGGGGAUCGAGCCCACAACCUGGGUAUGUGCCCUGACCGGGAAUCAAACCAUGAAUUCCUGGUUCAUAGGACCACGCUCAGCCACUGAGCCACACUGGCAUGGCAAAAACACAGUUUCUUUAUCUCCUCCACUUUCCUUAUCACUACUUCUAGUCUCUUAGAUGGCGGUGUCACCUCCUCUCUACAUGACUAUCACACAUCCAUCAAUUCGCCCCUAACUGUCCCAUUGCCCACAUUUUGUUUGAUGACUUUACCAUCCACCCAGCUGUUCACACUAAAAACCUCAGUCAUCUUUCCUCCUUUUCUCCAUCACGUGCCCCCCUACCUUCCCAGCAAACACAUUCAAUCAGGCAUCAAGUCUGGUCACUUCUGCCUUCGGAAUGUUUCUGGAAUCCUAAGACUUUGCAGGAAACUUUUAGCUUGUCUCAGACCAAAAUCUCUCUGUUUCUGAUUCAUCCUCCAUGAGGUCAUUAAUUAUUCUUCCAGAAGAAAAACCUGGUUUUACCUCUCCCAGGCUUAAUAAUAUCCAAUAAGUAGCCAUUGUCUAGAUAAAAUUUAAUUCUUUAACAAUGUGUAAACAAUUCCUCUAUGUCCCUUCACCCCUGAUCAAAAUUCACUUUUCAGCUAACCUACUCUCUUAGUUGGCUGCUUUCUGAAAAAUGACAGCCAGUUGGUUUUUUUUAACACCUUACCCCAGAAGAGAUUUCUUAGUGUGCUACCUAGUACCUGAUAUCAGUUAAAGAGACAUAUCUCUGGAGUUACCUGUAAGUAUUUUGGGUGCUGAAGGCUAGGGGGAUGUUGUGAACAACCAAGAUCCUAAGGUGACACUGUAUUUGCUUGCUCUGUGUGCCGGCAGUGGCAGCCCCCAAGUCAUGCAGUGCCAGGGUAUGGUUCUGGAGGAAGUUGUUCAGGUUAAAUAUCUGCAUUAUCUCCGUGGAUGAAAUCAUUUUAAAACUUGAUUCCUUCCCCACCCCAGCACCUUCUGUUUACCUUUGCUCUUCCUUAAUUUUCAUUUUAUGUUUCACUUCUCUCAAAAUAUUUUAAAAAAUUUUUUUAUUGAUUUCAGAGAGGGAGAGAGAGAGCUAGAAAUAUCAAUGAUGAGAAUCACUGUUUGGCUGCCUCCUGCAUGCUCCACUCUGAGGAUCGAGCUCAAAACUGUGACCUCCUGGUUCCCAGGUCGAAGCUCAACCACUGAACCACGCCAGCCAGGCUCAAAGUAUUUUCUUCUUCUCAUUUAGGUCAUGCUUUGCAAGUUUGUGUUGGGGAUUUUAUUACCUUAUUUUAUCCUAAUUAAAAAACAAACAAACCAUAUUAGUCUGUUGUCUUGCCAAAGAAUCUGAAGUCCAAAAUAAUAUCCAGUAUCAUCUCAUAUAUUUGGCUAGUAUUUCAGUCAGAAAUAAUGUUGCUUCUCCAGAGUAAAGAAAUCUUUGAUUUACUCUUCCCACCAAAGCACUGAAUGAGCACGGACAGCAGACCAAGGUUGACUCCAGGCCCCAGGGGCAAGGUUGAUGCCCAGGUGGGGGGAGGAGGGCUGCACACAACUCCUGGCCAGGUUAGAAGGUGCUUUCUUUAAUUAGUACAAAACAGUUAAGGUUAGCAGAGCAUGAUUAAUAUUUCUUAUAACUACAGCUAGUCCCCAGUAUUCUAUUUCUGCCCCUAACACUAUUAAUAGAAAUGGCAUCAAGGACAAUUUUCAGACUUUGUGCUUCACUCUGGAGAAAAACAAGAGUAUGGCUUCUUGAAUUUCUUCAUCGGGUAACGUAGAACCAGAACCCAGUUGUGUGAAGAUCAGCUGCACAUAUCAUGUUACUUGAUUUAAGCAUCAAAGUUAUAAACGAAACCAGUCAUAUGUUCUUUCAAAGCUAUUGCUGAUCAAAACAAACAUUCAAAUCAACAAAAUAAUAUGAAUAAUUAUGACCAUAAAUCUUCUACUAACUCUCUGAUUUGGGCUUUUAAAAAACUCAUUUAAAAUUCUUAGUUUUUUCUUUACUCAAAUAGACUACACUAGCUAAUACGUAUGUGCCGUCUACAUUCCAGAUGCUAUACUAGACACUUGCUCUACUCCUUAGUUUUUAUUCUAAUGAGAAAACUAUACUUCAUAGACAGUAGUUGCAGCUUUUAAAUAACACAGCAACCUCAAGGGGAAGAAAGUGGAGGGUGGGAGGCAAUACCGAAAACUCAAGUAUACAGAAUCUACAGACCAGUGUUCUUUGUAUGGUUUUAUGAACUAAAAACUUGGUAUAAAUGUUUAUUUUAGCUACUGUUCUAGAAAGGCGGGUGGCGUUUUUCAGGGGGCUACGUUCCACUUGGUCUGUCUCCGAUGCCUGUUAACCAAUAAAACCGGUCUCAUUCCGCUGCUGUGGGAAAUACGCAACAACGGACAAGUAAUAACUUUGGCGGUAAUUCGGUAUCUGGACUGCUAAGGAGAGGGGAGCUGAGCUCCUGAACCCCUGUUCUUCCCAGCGCUCCCUGCCCCCGCCCCGGGGCGGAGCACCUGCGAGCUGCAGAAGGGCGGACCACGUUCCCCGCCAGGCGCCGGAGGCGGGGUCCGGGGGAAGGGGGACCGGCCUGCGGCAAGAUGCGGAGCCGGCCUGCGCACGCCGCACCCGUUCUCGCGGCUCGGAGCGUGCGCAGGCGCGGGGUGCGCUAGGAGCGGGAGAUCGAGGUAGCGUUGGAGCGGAGUGCCGACCGGUCACCCGCUCCGGGCACGAUGAGCCCUGGAGAGGAGCGACCUGUGGAGGGGGGCGCCGGCGGCGGCGGCGCCUCCGAGUUGGAGCUGCUGAAGCUGCGCGCCGCGGAGCGCAUCGACGAGGCGGCGGAGCGCCUGGGGGCCCUGAGCCGCGCCAUCUGGAGCGCGCCCGAGCUGGCCUACGAGGAGCACCGAGCCCACGGCGUGCUGACGCGCUUCUUCCAGAGCGAGCCGCCGGCCGCCUCUUGGACGGUGCGGCCGCACUACCAUCUGGCCACGGCCUUCCGCGCCGAGUGGGAGCCGCCGGGGGUGCGGUCGGCCGCGAGCCCGCUGCACCUGGGCUUUCUGUGCGAGUAUGACGCGCUCCCCGGCAUCGGGCACGCCUGCGGCCACAACCUCAUCGCCGAGGUCGGGGCGGCGGCCGCGCUGGGCGUGAAGGGGGCCCUGGAGACCCUCCCCGCGCCGCCUCCGCCGGUGAAGGUGACUGUUCUGGGCACCCCUGCCGAGGAAGAAGGUGGUGGCAAAAUUGACUUAAUUGAAGCAGGGGCUUUUAAAAACCUUGAUGUUGUUUUUAUGGCCCAUCCAUCCCAAGAGAAUGCUGCUUAUCUCCCUGAUGUGGCUGAACAUGAUGAUAUUGAAAAAAAAAUUCCAAAUGAUGUUUUAUUUCCUAGUGUGACUGUGAAAUACUAUGGAAAAGCAUCUCACGCUGCUGCAUAUCCCUGGGAGGGAGUAAAUGCAUUAGAUGCUGCUGUUCUCGCCUACAACAAUCUGUCUGUGUUAAGACAGCAAAUGAAACCAACCUGGAGAGUUCAUGGUAUAAUAAAAAAUGGUGGUGUAAAACCCAAUAUCAUUCCCUCUUAUUCUGAAUUAAUCUAUUACUUCCGUGCACCCUCAAUGAAAGAACUUCCAGUUUUGACCAAAAAGGCAGAAGAUUGCUUCAGAGCUGCAGCUUGUGCUACUGGGUGCACAGUAGAAAUUAAAGGUGAAGCACAUGAUUAUUACAAUGUCCUUCCCAAUAAGAGCCUACGGAAAGCUUAUAUUGAAAACGGGGAAAAGCUGGGAAUAGAAUUCAUUUCAGAAGAGGAUGCAGUGUUGAAUGGAUCUUCAGGGAGCUCCUCUCGGAGGCCAGGGUGAGCUGCACCAUCAUCCUGUCUGGCUUCUCGCCAUUCUCUGGCGUGUAGUUGCCGAGGUCAUUCACCUCCACGUCGCUAUAGCUGCUAUCCAGCAUGACAGCGCGCGGCUGAGGUGGUCCGCAGGUGCAGGGAAGCUGCGAACACAGCAAGCACGUUGGGAUGAAACUUCAUGUCAUACCAGAGACCAAGAAGAAUGUUCAUGGCCAGAGCACCGCCCUAUUCUCCACCAGAGCAUUAACUGCUAGCAGCCGGGCUACAAAUGUUUACAGCUUCCGCUCCUUCCGCUCCUGCACGGUGGUCAGGUAGUUGACGGCCGCGUACUCCAGCACCGAGAGGAACACGAACACGAAGCUGACCCAGAGGUAGAUGUCCACGGCCUUGAUGUAGGAGACGCGGGGCAUGGAGGCGUUCACGCCCGUGAUGAUGGUGGACAUGGUCAGCACCGUGGUGAUACCUGCAACAUCCAGCUUUUAGUUCAGCCGCUGACGAGGGUGCAGAACGGCCCCCACCUUUCACUAAGUCACCGUGUGUACAUUCGCCACCUCUUAAAUCCAACGAGAAAUUCCCCGGACACGUUUCCACCUCGCAGAGGUGCAAGGAUCUGCUCCACCAGCGGCCAGGCUGUUCUCCUGGCCAACUGGCUGCUUAUCCCCUUUCACUUUAAGCCCCUGGGACACUGGGUCUCUGGGAUGGGGCUGACAAGGUCAGCAGUGCUUCAGAAAGGACCUGCUCAAGUGCGGACGCUUCUAGAGGAACCUUCCCAAACCUCAGGGAAUGAACAUUCUCCCUCACCUAACCCACACUGAUUAAGUCUGGGAAGACUGUGGGGAUUCCUGGAAGUCUAUCAUGCUAGUUUCUUCUUCACACUGCCUUGCUGGUCAAACCCUCACAUUCCUCAGGGCCCAACCUGAUUUUGUCCAAAUUUAUAAUCAUCAGUUGUAAACAACCACUCUGGAAUUCGGGGUCUGGGAAGGACUGAAACCACAGGUUACCAGGGAGUACAGCCCUCUCCGUCCCCGAAAUCACGUCAUGUGGGCCCCACCUCCUCAAACUCUCCGUCUGUCUAAACAAGGUCACCAAACAACAUGUUUGUACUUACAGAGUAAGUGUUUGGCAUUUGUAGAAUUAUCUUAUUGAUCAAAGUACUGAGCUCUAAUACUGCCGGCGGUGGAAGUCUACACCUCCAAUAGGCUCUAUCUUUCUGAAAUGAUCUGAGCAGAGCUGUUGCUAUUUUAGGUCCCUGUGGUUUUCAUAAUGUAGCCCAGGAAACAGAGGGCAGCCUGGGAAUGGUGAAGACCAGAAACAGGAGAUCUGCUCCUUUGACUUGACAGCCCAUCACUUAAGAACUCUGAGUAAUGGUCUUAACUUCUGCUUUACAAAGUGAUCAGUUGAAAAAAUAAAUAAAUAACCACCCCCAUCACACCUUAGCAAAUGCCUUUACCCAGUGACACUCUGGCAGGCACAGCUCUGCGGUCGAUCCAGAAGGACACCCAGGACAGCAUGACCAUCAGAGUGGCAGGGAAAUAAGUUUGGAGCAAGAAGAAGAAGAUGUGGCGACGCAACGUGAAGUUGAUGUACAGACGGUUGUACCAGCCUGGGGGACACAGGAAGAAGCCAGUGAGUUCAAUCUGAGAGGCAAAAACAAAGCCCUCCCCCAUGGGCUAAACGUGAAUGACCAAGUGGCUUAAUGUAAUACAUUUCCUUUCCAAAAUCUAAGCCCUCUCUCCUACAAAUAAAUGUCUUGCCAGUA